GAUGAACGCUGGCGGCGUGCCUAAUACAUGCAGGUCGAGCGAACAGACGAGGAGCUUGCUCCUCUGACGUUAGCGGCGGACGGGUGAGUAACACGUGGAUAACCUACCUAUAAGACUGGGAUAACUUCGGGAAACCGGAGCUAAUACCGGAUAAUAUAUUGAACCGCAUGGUUCAAUAGUGAAAGACGGUUUUGCUGUCACUUAUAGAUGGAUCCGCGCCGCAUUAGCUAGUUGGUAAGGUAACGGCUUACCAAGGCAACGAUGCGUAGCCGACCUGAGAGGGUGAUCGGCCACACUGGAACUGAGACACGGUCCAGACUCCUACGGGAGGCAGCAGUAGGGAAUCUUCCGCAAUGGGCGAGAGCCUGACGGAGCAACGCCGCGUGAGUGAUGAAGGUCUUCGGAUCGUAAAACUCUGUUAUUAGGGAAGAACAAAUGUGUAAGUAACUAUGCACGUCUUGACGGUACCUAAUCAGAAAGCCACGGCUAACUACGUG
rnacentral:rRNA from 1 species